AUUGAACGCUGGCGGCAGGCCUAACACAUGCAAGUCGAACGAGUGGCGGACGGGUGAGUAAUGUCUGGGAAACUGCCUGAUGGAGGGGGAUAACAACUGGAAACGGUAGCUAAUACCGCAUACCAUCAGAUGUGCCCAGAUGGGAUUAGCUUGUUGGGGGGGUAACGGCUCACCAAGGCGACGAUCCCUCGCUGGUCUGAGUGGAUGACCAGCCACCAUGGACCUGGGACACGUGCCAGACUCCUACGGGAGGCAGCGGUGGGGAAUAUUGCACAAUGGGCGCAAGCCUGAUGCAGCCAUGCCGCGUGUAUGAAGAGGGCCUUCGGGUUGUAAAGGACUUUCAGCGGGGAGGCGUUACCCGCAGAAGAAGCACCGGCUAACUCCGUGCCAGCAGCCGCGGUAAUUC
rnacentral:rRNA from 1 species